UCUCUGUAAAUUGAUAUGAGAUUGAUGGCCGAUUGGAACAGAGAGCUGAUGAGAAAGUAGAGUGAGGCUGAGAGAUCGAGACCGAGCGAGGAUGAGAGUGAUCGCCAGAGUGAGGCGAGAGAGAGCAAUGCGAGAACGAGAGAGGAAGGAGAUAGCUGGUGGCUGGAAGAAGAAGCCGCUGUGAUGGCGGCCAUGGCCGACGCGAGGCAGAGCAGAGGCGGACCAGCGAGGGGUGCGGUGGAGCUCAUGGAGGCUGGAGGCGAUGCUGGCUCGCGAUGGCGCACGAUAGCUACUUGGGUGCGUCGAUGGCUAGCCAAGCAGCCAGCGAUGAUGGCAGCGGCUGAAGCUUCUGCAAUGGCGUCUUGAAGCUGCAGGGGUCGACGAUAGCAAGUGGCUGGUGCGAGCGAGGAGUCACAGGAGGUCGUUGGGGUGCUGCUCGCAGCGGCUGGAGGUCGAAGGCGGUGUCGAUCUUGAGGCGAUGGUGGCCGAAGGUGCGGCUGCGACUGGUUGUCGCGGCCAUGGCUGCAGCGUGAGGUUGGGCAGCAGCGCGGCUGCUGUACGCACGAGAGGCCGGCGGGGGUUGCUGCUCACGAUGGCAGCGGCGCGACAGCUGGAGGUGGCCGGAGGCAAUGGCAGCACGAGCAGGGUCGGUGGCCGGUUGAGUUGGGCGCGCGCUGGAGGUUGAAGGAGAUGAACAGUGCGCGCAGGAAGUGGAAAAGAAAUGAGGAGGAAAGAAAGAAAAAUAAAAAGAAAAAAAGAAAUAAAAGAAAAGGGAAAUAAAUGAUAAAAUAUGGAAAAAUCUCGAAAAAUUCCAAAAAGAUUGGGGAAAGUUCUGGAAAUUAAUUUAGGGCCCGAGGAGCGUGCUGGAGGCCGAGAAUUGGAUUUGGGCGCGAGAUUUGAAGCCCAGGAAGCAAUGCCGGGUGAGCGUUUUCCCGAUGUCUGCUCCAGAAUUAAUUGAGGUUCGACCGGGAAGGCAGUGAUCCUAGAGGAACUUGCGGUUCAGGUUGGAGUUCGUGCCGAGGCAGAGAAGAGGUUUCGAGCCAGAUGAUGCAAGUCCGGAUGCAAGCAGGGAUGGCGCCGGGAGGCCGUUGAGGCAACUAGCUGAGUUGCCCGAGUUAUGUAUUUUAAAUAUUGCUUGUAUGUAGCCAGGGGGCGUGGUGUAUGUAUACCCUUGUGAGUAAAUGUCCGUGUUAUUGAGCUUAAAUGUAUUUAAUUGUUGUAAUCAUCAUAGUGUGAUAGAUGAUUGUGAGAUUGCUUGUUGAAUGUGGCAUAGUCGGUAAAGCCAAUUUUCGGACCGAGUCAGGAUCAGCAAGGUAUGUUCUCAUAAAUCCCCAAUACUCAGCGAAGUGUCUGUAUGCUAGCUUUGUGCCUGGGUCACCUCUGGCUUGCUAUGGGGUGAGCUGAAGAGAGGUGAAGCUCACUCGGGUUUUGGGUCUUGGUCCGCUGGAUUUUUCUUAUUUGAGUUGGGACCGAUUCCUGAGUGGAGCGAAGGGAAUGACGAAGCCUAGUUCCCACCUAGGGCGUUUCCUGUUGAAACAUAGUCUAACCCUUCAGUUGUGGUUUGUCGGGUGAGUAAUCCGGUCGAUUAUUUACCGGUGGCGCCCGUAAGUGGGAGCGGGUCGUUACACAACGUUAGGGCGCGGGUGGGGAUCUGCAAACCCUCCGAUGCCUAAGUUAGUUCUCGAGAGCUAAAAAUAUGGAAUUGUGUUGAGGAGCCCAAAAGUGCGUACCUUGUGAUGAAGGCAUGGUCUCAUAUUUAUAGCGGAGGAGAGAGAGAGAGAGAAGACGUGCGACAAUCAGGGCGAGAAUCUCGGGGCCCGUUUUGAUGAUUUCGAGGCCCAUCCAAGAGGGAAAAGAGGAGAGAUUGGCCCAAGCCCACUAGACCAUGACCUAGUGGGGGGCCUCUCGAUCAUGACCGAGUGGGGGGCCACUCGGUCAUGCCUUAUUUUGCCCUUUUCCUCGAUUCGGUUUUGAGUGGUUCCCAUACCUCAACUUCAUGCUCGAUUUACACAUUGAUUCAGCUCGAAUGUCUCAAAACUCAAAACAGUAAAGUUGUAUAUAAUUCUCUUAGAUUUCCAUAGGACUUUGAAUCAGCUUAAUCAGAGCUCAUAUGAGAGAGUUAUACCCAAAAAACCAAAAGAGUGUCGUACACACUCGGCAUAACCGAGUGGGUCAUGAAAAGUGAGGGGAAAUUGGUCACCCGCCCACUUGGUCAUGACCAAGUGACCCCCACUCGGUCAUGGCUAAGUGGGUCUUCAUUCCCUUGGAUUUGAGGGCCUCUUUUGCCUUUUGUCUUGGUUCGGAUCCAUCUUCGCUCCAAUACUUGACUCUGAGCCUUAAUAAUGCAGUUGCAUCAACUUAGAGCCAAUUUCAGCCUUGAUGAAACUUGAAUCUCUCAAAACUCAAAACAUGAAAGUUGUAGAUAAUUCUCUUAUCUAUCCAUGGGAUUUUGAAUCACCUCAAUCGAAGCUUGUAUGAGAAAUUUAUACCCGAUAAACCAAAGUAGUGUCGUACCCACUCGACAUAACCGAGUUGGUCUUCCCCACUUGGUCUCGGCUCGACCUCUUGCUCCUUCGGCUUGUUUCCUUGAUCUCAUACAACCCAUGGGGCCUUUGGGCUUCAUGUUCAUGUCUCACGACUUUUUUAGGUCUUAUAACUCUCCAAGUUUGCAGGGCAUAUCAUCAGUAUAUUUCAAAUUCUAACAGGUAGAACUAGCAAAAUAACCCAUAUUCUAACAGCUAUAAUGCAGGUUGGAGAAAUCACCCCAAUUUUUCCUAGAGGGAUUAGGGCGAUAGUAGCAAUUAUAGGCCUAACAAUCCUCCUGAUUUUCAAUCGAGACCUCAAGGAGUGAUGCAGCAGCAACUAGAGAGCAAGCCUUCUUGGAAGUUGGCAAUUGAUAAGUUAGUGAAUGCCACUGCGAAUAGAUUUGAAAAGUUAGAUGCAAAAGUAUACCAGAUGGCCAGUUUCAACAAAAAUCUGGACGUUCAAUUGGGGCAGAUAUCAAAUUUCAUAAAUUCAAUAGACUAAGGUAAAUUGCCCAGCAAAACUAAGGUGAAUCCAAGAGAGAAAGUCAAGGCAAUGACAUUGAGAAGUGGUAAACAACUUGGUGAGGUAAGUAGUGAACAUGUUACAGGUGAUGCUGAUAAAAAGAAUAAUGUUGAGAUUAGUGAUGAGAAUGAGCAAAACGAGAUACCAUCCCUAACACCACCUAUUAAACCUUAUGUUCCUCCUAUCCCUUUUCCUCAAAGGCUUAAACAGAAUAAGGUUGACAAACAGUUUGAAAAAUUUCUUGAAGUUUUUAAAUAAUUACGCAUUAACAUUUCAUUUACAGAUGCUUUAGCAUAGAUCCCUACUUAUGCAAAAUUCCUAAAAGAAAUUAUGUCAAACAAGAGGAAGCUGGAGGAUUAUAAGACCAUUGCCUUGAAUAAAGAAUGCAGUGCUAUGAUUUAGAAGAAGCUACCACCAAAUUUGAGAGAUCCAAGGAGUUUUUCUAUCCCUUGCACUAUUAGUGAAAUUAAUUUUGAUAAAGUUUUAUGUGACCUCAGUGCAAGCAUUAAUUUGAUGCCCUUGUCUAUUUUUAGGAAGCUUGGAUUAAAAGAACCAACACCCACCACUAUUUCUCUUCAAUUGGCCGAUGGAAGUAUCAAAUAUCCAAGAAGAGUAGUGGACAAUGUUUUGGUAAAGUAGAUAAAUUUAUUUUCCUAUUGACUUUAUUAUUCUAGACAUGGAAGAAGAUUAUGAUAUGCCCCUAAUUUUAGGGAGACCUUUUAUUACCACAAGAAGAGUUUUGAUUAAUGUCCAGCAAGGACCACUUAGCCUUAGAAUUUAUGAUGAGACAGUUACUUUUAAUAUGUUUAAGACUACGAAACAUUCUAAUGGCAAUGAAAAGGAAGUCCUAAGGAUAGAUGGCACUAAUGAUUUAGUAAAAAGAUUAGAUGAGCCUAUAGAAAAUUGUAUUGCUAACUCUUUUGAUGAGUAGAAAAUAAUUUUAGAUGCCAAGAACAAGGUCAUGGCUAUGGGCUAUUUGGGAGAAAAGUAAACUAUUAUCCAUCCAAAAGAGACAAAUUGUUACCUUUAGAUGCUUCUUCUUCUUCUUCAAAAGCCAAACCACUAAGUCGUGAAAAGAAAAAAUUGAUAAGGGUGCUUAGAGAACAAAAGAAGGGAAUUGGAUGGAAAGUUGCUAACAUUCAAGGAAUAAGUCCAUCAACCAACAUGCAUAAAAUUUUGACAGAAGAAGGAUUCAAGCCUUCGUGAAGAUGGAAACUUAGUCAAGCUAAUGACUAUAAACAAGCGCUUCUAGGGAGGCAACCCAAGCUCUUUUUUCAUUUUGUUUUUAUUAUUUCAUUUUAGUUUGUUGAAUAAAUAUGGCCAAUAACCCAUAUUUGUGAUGUUGUGCAGGUUCAAAAGAAAGAAAAAUAAAGCUAAUUCAAUUUGGACUGGCAUGUGUAUUUAGUGUUUAAUUAUGUGGCCUGGGGAGUACUCAUUUUUCAUUCUCCUUUUUCUUUGUCUUUCACAUUGAGGACAAUGUGUUAAAUAAGUUUGGGGGGUGGAAUUAUUAAUUGUUGAUAUAUGCUAUUUGUUUUGCUUGGGUGUUUUUUAUAUGAUUUUUUCUUUUUUUUACAAAACUUAUAUCAGGCACAAAUUUAGCUAACCUCUAAACUAAAAAAAAUUGUGAAAGAUAAAAUAAAUAGAACUUGUUAUUUGAAAUCAUGAUUUGCAUUUGGGUUCUUUAUUAUGUUUAACAUUGAGUCUUUGAUUUGGAAUGGACAAUAUCUUAUAAAGCAAAAUUAAGUAUACUUGGGUUCUAAGAUCAUUGAAGUAUAUGUUCUUUGCGAAGUUGCUUGAGUUGUGUGACUAUGCAUGAAAGAUAAAUAUAAUGCUUUUCUUGUCAUUAUUCCUUCUGAGCUAGGCCUAAACAGGGUUUAAGUAAAUAGGGUGAUUGAUGUUGAGGGAGAUGGAGCAUAAAAUGCACUCAUUCAGUUAAAAAAAAUAAAAGAAAAGAAAAAACGAGAUGGAUCAUAAAAUACACUCGUUCAAUUAGGAAAAGAAAAAAAAAAAAAAAAGAAACCCUACUUUGCAACCUUUGUUUGUAGUAGUCAAAAGGAACAGUUGCAAGAAUUGUUGUUGCACCAUUCGAUUGUGCGAAGUACAUGAUAAAGCAUGAUUGAGUUUAGAAUUUUGUAUAGAUUCUUGAACUUGGGAAUGCAAGUAUGCUUAGUUUUCUUUAUUUGCUAUUGUUGUAUUUUGGAUUGAGAAUUUAGAUGUGGACAUAACAAAGAAUUUUAAUGUGAUAAAUGAUUUCAAAUAUAUAUUUUGUGUUUUGAAUUUAAAAUUUAUUUUCUUUACUUGAGGACAAGCAAUAAUUCAAGUUUGGGGGUAUUUGAUAUGAAAAUUUAUUUACACAUUUAUUGGUCAUAAUUGAGUAGUGUUUUUAGUAUUUUAUUUGUGUUUUACCUAUAAUUGUCUAGUAUGUUGAGUUUCUUUUAUAUAUAUAUAUAUAUAUUUAAUUUUUAGUAUUUCUUGUUAUUUUACAAGAAUACUACUUGGUGUUUGUGUUAAAAAAUAAAAAUAAAAAAAUAAGAUAUUAUAAAAAGUUAAUUUUAAAAUUAAUACUAUAAAUUAAUAUUAUAAUAUAAAUAAUAAAUAAAAAAUAUAAAUAAUUAAUAUUAUAAUAUAAUAUAAUUAAUAGUAUGUUAAAUAUUAUAAAUUAUAUUAUCUUUACAAAUAUUAUAUUAUUUUUAUAUUAUAUUAGUAGUAACGUGAGUGUGUGGUUUGUGUGUGUGCAUAUAUAAUAAUAUAUUAAUAUAAUAAAUGGAGUCCAAUUGCAAUGCAAUUGGAACUCCAUGCCCUACGUGUAUAUAUAUAUAUA